rnacentral:misc_RNA from 1 species
UUGCCCCAGUAACGGCGAGUGAAGCGGCAACAGCUCAAAUUUGAAAUCUGGCUCUCGGGCCCGAGUUGUAAUUUGUAGAGGAUGCUUUUGGCGCGGAGCGGACAAAGUCCCCUGGAACGGGGCGCCAUAGAGGGUGAGAGUCCCGUAUCGUCCAAUCUCCAAGCCUCUGUAAAGCUCCUUCGACGAGUCGAGUAGUUUGGGAAUGCUGCUCUAAAUGGGAGGUAUAUGUCUUCUAAAGCUAAAUACCGGCCAGAGACCGAUAGCGCACAAGUAGAGUGAUCGAAAGAUGAAAAGAACUUUGAAAAGAGAGUUAAAAAGUACGUGAAAUUGUUGAAAGGGAAGCGCUUGUGACCAGACUUGGGCUUGGUUGAUCAUCCAGGGUUCUCCCUGGUGCACUCUUCCGGCUCAGGCCAGCAUCAGUUUGCCCCGGGGGACAAAGGCGUCGGGAAUGUGGCUCCCUCCGGGGAGUGUUA